rnacentral:rRNA from 1 species
GACGAACGCUGGCGGCGUGCCUAAUACAUGCAAGUAGAACGCAGUUGCGAACGGGUGAGUAACGCGUAGGUAACCUGACUCAUAGCGGGGGAUAACUAUUGGAAACGAUAGCUAAUACCGCAUACUGUGAGAUGGACCUGCGUUGUAUUAGCUAGUUGGUGAGGUAAAGGCUAACCAAGGCGACGAUACAUAGCAGACCGUAGAGGGUGAUCGGCCACACUGGGACUGAGACAGGGCCCAGACUCGUCCGGUAGGCAGCAGUGGGGAAUAUUGCACAAUGGGCGCAAGCCUAAUGCAGCCAUACCGCGGAUAUGAAUAAGGCUUUCGGGUUGUAAAGUACUUUCAGCGGGUAGGCGUUACCCGCAGAAGAAGCACCGGCUAACUCCGUGCCAGCCGCCGCGGUAAUAC